AUUCAUCCGACGAGUUCCAAAUAGGACGAAAUGUGCAUUAUGGAU
rnacentral:hammerhead_ribozyme from 1 species